rnacentral:rRNA from 1 species
UACGAAGGGGGCUAGCGUUGUUCGGAAUUACUGGGCGUAAAGGGCGCGUAGGCGGUGUGUCAAGUCAGGCGUGAAAGCCCCCGGGCUCAACCUGGGAACUGCAUUUGUGACUGGCAGGCUAGAGUAUGGCAGAGGGGGGUAGAAUUCCACGUGUAGCAGUGAAAUGCGUAGAGAUGUGGAGGAAUACCGAUGGCGAAGGCAGCCCCCUGGGCCAAUACUGACGCUCAUGCACCGAAAGCGUGGGGAGCAAACGAGGAUUAGAGU